rnacentral:rRNA from 1 species
CACGGGGGGAGCAAGCGUUGUUCGGAAUCACUGGGCGUAAAGGGCGUCUAGGCGGUUAGGUAAGUGGGAUGUGAAAUCCCUCGGCUCACCCGAGGACCUGCAUCCCAAACUGCUUAGCUUGAGUAUGGGAGAGGAUGAGGGAAUUCCUGGUGUAGCGGUGAAAUGCGUAGAUAUCAGGAGGAACACCGGUGGCGAAGGCGCUCAUCUGGCCCAAUACUGACGCUGAAGCGCGAAAGCUAGGGGAGCAAACGGG